ACUAUUCACCAAAAAAAGGUCUUUGCAAGUCAUAAGACUAUGUAUGGGGGUGACACCUGCCCAAUGCCAAAAGGUCAAAGACGUUGGUGACCGAAGCUAUGGCGAAUGGCAGCCGUAACUUCAACAAUCCUAAGGUACUCCCAAUUCUCAGAUUCUGAAAGAUAAAAUAUGUAGGUUAAA
rnacentral:ncRNA from 1 species